AAUCAACGCUGGCGGCGUGCCUCAGACAUGCAAGUCGAACGAUUAAACUUUCCUUCGGGAAAGAUAUAAAGUGGCGCACGGGUGAGUAACACGUAGGUAAUGUACCUUUGGGUGGGGAAUAACCAUCGGAAACGAUGGCUAAUACCGCAUAAUGCAGCGGCAUCGCAAGAUGACAGUUGUUAAAGAUUUAUCGCCUAAAGAGCAGCCUGCGGCAGAUUAGGAGUUGGUAAGGUAAUGGCUUACCAAGCCUGCGAUCUGUAACCGACCUGAGAGGGUGGUCGGUCACACUGACACUGAAUAACGGGUCAGACUCCUACGGAGGCAGCAGUCGGGAAUUUUGGGCAAUGGGCGAAAGCCUGACCCAGCAACGCCGCGUGAAGGACGAAGUCUUUCGGG
rnacentral:rRNA from 1 species